UCACCAGCAGCCAGAUGCUACAGCAGGCGGUGAUCUCAGCCAGUCCCCACGCCGGAACCCAGUCUUCUCAGCCCUCAUUCCCUGGGUACCACGUCUUCCUCAGACCUUGUACCUCACUCCAUGCAUUUAGUGCCAAACUGUGGUGAUGCUUCAAAUUGCCUUUUUCAGCCGGAACACACCUUCGGAGAGGAGCCCUAGAAGCCUGAGCUCUGACACUAAAGAAUGGGACUCCAACACCCGCACAUGUGUGAGUGUGUGUGUGUGAGAGACAGAGACAGAGACAGAGACAGAGAAUGUGUCCAUGAUUGAGAUAGGGUCCCAUGUAGUUUAGGCUGCCUGGUACCAUGUAGCCAAAGAUGAUGCUGAUUGACCUUCCUGCCUCCACCCCCUAGGUGCCCAAAUUACAUGCAUGCAAUACCA